CGAGUUAUCUGAACCUUCGGGGAACGAUAACGGCGUCGAGCGGCGGACGGGUGAGUAAUGCCUAGGAAAUUGCCCUGAUGUGGGGGAUAACCAUUGGAAACGAUGGCUAAUACCGCAUAAUGCCUACGGGCCAUAGAGGGGGACCUUCGGGCCUCUCGCGUCAGGAUAUGCCUAGGUGGGAUUAGCUAGUUGGUGAGGUAAUGGCUCACCAAGGCGACGAUCCCUAGCUGGUCUGAGAGGAUGAUCAGCCACACUGGAACUGAGACACGGUCCAGACUCCUACGGGGAGGCAGCAGUGGGGAAUAUUGCACAAUGGGGCGCAAGCCUGAUGCAGCCAUGCCGCGUGUGUGAAGAAGGCCUUCGGGUUGUAAAGCACUUUCAGUCGUGAGGAAAGUAGGGGUAGUUAAUAGC
rnacentral:rRNA from 1 species